rnacentral:rRNA from 1 species
UACGUAGGGUGCGAGCGUUGUCCGGAAUUAUUGGGCGUAAAGGGCUCGUAGGCGGUUUGUCGCGUCGGGAGUGAAAAUCCAUUGGCUUAACUGGUGGCUUGCUUUCGAUACGGGCAGACUGGAGGUAUGCAGGGGAGAACGGAAUUCCUGGUGUAGCGGUGAAAUGCGCAGAUAAUCAGGAGGAACACCGGUGGCGAAGGCGGGUCUCGUGGGCAGUGACUGACGUGAGGAGCGAAAGCGUGGGGAGCGAACAGGAUUGAGAUACCGGAGUAGUCA